CUCCACCGGGCCUAUUCCCAGAUCCAGAUCUUACAUGUGCCAGUGGGUGCUAGGUUCUUAUCUGGCUUGGUCUACCCCCUCCAUCUUGGCCUUUGUAUGAUGGUGGAUGUUGUGGACUAUCCCGCCCCACAUCCUAUUAUUGGGAGUGCUCACGAGUGCUGCAGUCUGGAGCAGCCUGGCCUGUUCUGAACUAUAGGACUCAUGAGUGUUGGAGGGUUCCAUGCCAUGGUCAUUCCUAGCUCAGCCCAUCACUACUCCCAGGUCUUGAGCCAAACAGCGAAAAUUGUGGUUCUACAGGGAUAAGUCCACAUAUGUGCCCCAGCCUAGUUCUCUUGCAUGCUGGUUAGUUUCAUGGCCCAGUCUAACUUUACCUGUCCCCUUUUCCAACUCUUACUAGUAGGUAUUGUAAUCUAGCCCUGCCUUGUAAGCCCCCAGCCCUAGCUUUAGUGUGAGUGGUGAUUGGCGGUGUUCCCUGCUAACUAGCCCAGCACUGGUCUCCCACAUGGGUUGGUGUGUUGGUCUGACCUAUAAAAGUCCUCCAGCAUCCCUCUCCAAACUGCUCUAUCCCAGCACUCCCGCUUAUUUGCAAGUACAGUGAACAGUUCGAUGGAGGUCCCUCAGAAGUCCUUCCUCACCUGCAACAUACUUCCCUACCAGUCUCCCCCCGCACACACACACCCUCUUGCCCCUUUGUGAUCAGUGCAGUCCCUGCACUGGGGAGCACACAGGUUCCCCAGCCCAGCCUUUAGAGUCCAGUGUUCCGGUGGGGUGGUUUGCUGGAGCUCUGUCUGCCCACUAGGGGCCCAAGUUCCUGGCAUGUUUGCUGGUCUCAGAACUUAUCCCUCUACACACCCAAGAUGCAAGCCCAGUCCACCAACACACCAGGCCAGCAUUCUAACUUAGGGCUCUCCGUGCCCUGUGCAGGACCAAGCAAGUGAGGAAAUCCCCAGGCCUGCUCUACCUGCCUGGAUGUGAGCACCCAGGUCCCUGCACGCCCCCACAGGCUCCCAUCCCCUUGGUCUUCUGUAUGCCCUCACAAGCCCACACACAGAAAAGUGGCACAGGGUUGCUCUGCAUGUACACAGAAAGGCAGCCCCAAAUCUCAGCUACCUUAUCUAGCCCCCUCUCGAGGUAAAUCAUGUCCUUUCACAUCUCAAAGAGGACAGUAUGUGCUUCCUUUUGCUCAAAAUGCCAUUUUUCACCCCUUGCUUCCUUAAUUCUUCAUCUGACCCCUCCUGUUCAUCCUAUAGUCCAGAAAACCUCCUUUAGGUUUUUUAUUACUAUUAUUUAAAAUAUUUUAAGAGACUUAUUUACUUGAAAGGCAACUAGAGACAGAGAGAGAUUUUGCAAUGUCUGGUGCUGAGUCAAGCUCAAAUCAGGAAACAGUAGCUCCAUGUGGGUCUCUUACCUGAGUGCCAAGAAUCCAGGCACAUGGGCCAUCUUCAGCUACCUUCCUAGGCAUGGAGGUUUGCCCCCCUCAACAGUUGUGAAGUAACCCCUUUUACCCUCUUAAAAUUCCCUUUGUCUAGUUCUUAAGGUUGUGUCAGGAAUUACCUUUUUUAUUAUGUAUUCCUUGAGAUUAGGACAGGACCAUAGGUUACUUUUAUAUCCCCAACAACUAGUAGUUAAAUGCCUCCUCAGUAAAUAUUGAAUGAAUGAAAUCCUGUAUUUCUAUUGAGAAUGUUUGUAUCUCAACUGUUGCACUUCUGGGGCAGCUACCUGCUAAUGACCUGGGAAAAGCAGUAGGUUUUAAAGGUUUAGGUCCCUGGCACCAUGUGGGAGACCUGGAUGAAACUUCUGACCGAGCUUUUGCCUGGUCCUAUCCCUAGCAUUGAAGCCAUCUAGGGAGUGAACUAGCAAAUUUGUAUCCACUUGUUCUUGCACUUUCACAUAAAUCUAGAAGUUCAGAAGAGAGAAAUAACAUUUUAUCGGGUAUUUGAAAAUGUAAGACUGGGGGGGAGUUAGUUGUUAGGUUGACAUUUUAAUUGGUUCUUGAGAUUAAUCUUUCGAGAUUAGGACUAGGCUGAGAUAUGGAUAAUCUAAUUGGCUCAGGAGACUAUUGUUAAAAGUUGGUUGUUGCAUCUAUCAGCUAAGCAUCCUUUUAUCUUUUACAUUCUAUGCAUGGCUUUGUUAGAACUAACCUCAUGUCUCAGGUUGGUCAGUAAUGUUUUGUUAGCAUUUCCUAUGACUCACACUUGUCACAUAUAACAUACAGACUAUUACAAGAAUUAAAUAAUUAUUUUUUCUUGCUGAUGGUUCUCAGCUGAUUUCUUCUUGGCUGUGAAGUGUUAGGACACUUGAGGGGAAAAGACCUGCAUUAGAAGAGUCAUGGGCUGCGUGACUGAGAGCAUUUUCCUUUCUGAAUCUUGAAAAACCAGAUGUUAAGGUCUACACUGUCAGGCUCCAGCUCUUGCAAAACAGAACAUCAGACCGGAAACUUGACUUAAAAGUAACAAAAUCAAGGGAAAGGGAGGAGAGAGAGCUUUGGACGUAAAAAAAGGAAUUUAGAAAAAAGAAUCCAUGCAGCUGGAGAUUUACUGCUAUUUUCACUUUUUAGAAGAGAGUUUUGAAUCUGUAUAUAGGAAGUUAGCUGUGGAGUCUGAAGUUCAUGUUGUUUUUAUAAAUUUGGCCACAUUGUAAUAAAAAUAAUAAAUAAGUAUUCAGUCUUGCCUGAUUGCAUGAAUAUGUUUUUGUUGCUUCUGACCAGGUUGAAUUCUAUAACUUUUUAAAUUUGUUUUUAACAAUUGUUAAGUUGGUUUUAAAGGGUAAGUAUUUAUGUGAUAUGUUCAAAGUAGUAAAUGAACAAAGUGGACUAUGAUUAACUGGCAUGGAUUGCUUUUUGACCUGCUUGUUUUGUGUUUUUCUUCUAAUAUAAUAA